GGGGAUGUAACGGAUUCGACGGGGUGACUGUUGCCGUUCGCUGCAUGUCGUGCUUAGCUGGUGGCGCACGUAAAUUCAACUAGCAAAACAAAAAUGCCGAUUAUGAUUACGCAAUGGCUGCGUAAAAAAUAAUAGCAGCCACGCUUAAUGGACGAUUUGCCUAUCGGUCUUCCAUUAGGUGUCGCAAAUAGAUAGGAUAGCACUUGUGCGUUCGACAGGAGCAAGCGCGAAAAUAAUACUGCCGAUAGCUUGCAAGUUCCUGUCGCUUGGAUCACUUGCUUGCGAUAAACAAAAAGCGACUAAACAUGUAGAAGCUUCGGAGGAAGCACUUCGGACGCGGGUUCGACUCCCGCCAUCUCCACAA
rnacentral:tmRNA from 1 species